rnacentral:lncRNA from 1 species
GGCCUUGUGAGGAGGGUUUGGGGUUCCAGGAGGUGUCGUUGGGGCUCUGUGAGGAGGGUUUGGGGUUCCAGGAGGUGUCGUUGGGGCUCUGUGAGGGUUUGGGAUGGUAGGAGGGCGAUUUUGGAGCUCCAGGGGGAAGUUUGAGGCGACUGAUGGGGCUCAGCCCUGUGAGGAGACCUGAGGUGAGGGGAUGAGUCGGCCCAGGGCUGGAGAGGGCUGAGAGGCAGUGGGAGUUGCGUGGUGAGGCCCGGUGGUGGCAGAGCUGGGUGAGGAGCCGGGCUGGGUGAGGAGCUCUGUGCUGCUGUUGGUGUUCUGACCUCUGUUUGUGUUCAGAAGGAGCUUCCCAUCACCGUCCCGCCUGCUCCUGCAGUUGCUUUGUGCCCGAGGAUCUCUUUCUGCAAGCAGAACAUGAGUUACCACCCCUUUCCAUAUACUAGAGGGUGGGAAGAAAGUGGGGCCUGUUACAAACUCCAAGCGCCCUGAAGUGGCAGCCCAGGUCCCCACACAGCAUGGGAUUGCCUUAAAAAUGGUGAGGCUUUUAAAGGAAGAAAAGAAUUACAUGAUAUGAUGGUACACUGGAGUGUGCUGGGCAGAAAUGGCAUGGAAACUCACUGUGUAUCUCAUAAUCUGGUGUAGUAAAGGGGUAACAUCCCUUCCACUGUGUUGCAUCUGGGGUUCUGACUCGUGGGAUUGGGUAUAGUGUAAUCUUCCCUCUUCUCCAGCUUGUUCCAUGGGGUCUUCAAUGUCAGUGAUGGCAGUUCAUGGAGCAAAUAAGACCCCUUGUUGCCAUGGAGCAGAGAAGCACACCCGGAGGACCGCGUGCUGUGAUCUGGUCAGUACUUUGGUGUUGCCAAACACAGCAGUUUUGUUUGCAGGACCUUUCUGUGAGCCCCGUACCCUCUUA